GGAGAGAUGGCAGAGCGGUUGAAUGCGGCGGUCUUGAAAACCGUUGAGCGCGGGAGCGUUCCGGGGGUUCGAAUCCCCCUCUCUCCGCCA
rnacentral:tRNA from 1 species